rnacentral:rRNA from 1 species
AGCAGCCGCGGUAAUUCCAGCUCCAAUAGCGUAUAUUAAAGUUGUUGCAGUUAAAAAGCUCGUAGUUGAAUUUCGGGGUCAGCAAGUUGGUCGUGCCACCGGUAUGCACUGGCUUUGCUGAUUCCUCCUUCUUGUAGAACCGUAAUGCCAUUAAUUUGGUGUUGCGGGGAAACAGGACUGUUACUUUGAAAAAAUUAGAGUGUUUAAAGCAGGCUAACGCUUGAAUACAUUAGCAUGGAAUAAUGAAAUAGGACGACGAUCCUAUUUUGUUGGUUUCUAGGAUUGACGUAAUGAUUAAUAGGGAUAGUUGGGGGCAUUAGUAUUCAAUUGUCAGAGGUGAAAUUCUUGGAUUUAUUGAAGACUAACUACUGCGAAAGCAUUUGCCAAGGAUGUUUUCAUUAAUCAAGAACGAAAGUUAGGGGAUCGAAGACGAUCAGAUACCGUCGUAGUCUUAACCAUAAACUAUGCCGACUAGGGAUCGGAUGAUGUUAAUUUUAUAAUGACUCAUUCGGCGCCUUAA